rnacentral:snRNA from 1 species
CCCGGGCGGAGCGGCCGUC